ensembl:misc_RNA Metazoa_SRP Metazoan signal recognition particle RNA
GCUGGGCAUGGUGGCGCGUGCCCGUAGUCCCAGCUGCUCCGGAGGCUGAGGCAGGAGAAUUGCUUGAACCCAGGAGGCGGAGGUUGCAGUGAGCUGAGAUCGCACCACUGCACUCCAGCCUGGGUGACAGAGUGAGACUCUGUCUCAA